rnacentral:misc_RNA from 1 species
AAGUCGUAACAAGGUUUCCGUAGGUGAACCUGCGGAAGGAUCAUUACAAAACAACAAACUGUUUGACGAUUGGUGAUAUGGGGAGAGGAGGGAGAGAAGGGAGAGGAGAAAUUCUUUCUCAUUUCAUUUCUCUUCUCUUCUCUUCCCUAUCACUAUUCUUAUAUUAUUACCAUUUGACAAUGUGUGAUGGAUGUGUGUUGGUGGGUGGUGGUGGUGGUGGCAUGCGUCUCGACGCCGGCAACCAGCAAACAACGACAACAACAGCGCAACCAACAACAACAAUGUGACACAACACAAAAU